UGUUAUGGCGGCUGUGCGCGGGACACCUUCGGGUGUGCCGGGUCCUGUUGCCCCGGUCGGCCAACCCGCGCACAGUCGCCACCCUC
rnacentral:antisense_RNA from 1 species